rnacentral:rRNA from 1 species
UACAGAGGGUGCAAGCGUUGUUCGGAAUUAUUGGGCGUAAAGGGAGUGUAGGCUGUUAAGCAAGUCUUCUGUGAAAUCUACGGGCUUACCCCGUAACGUGCAGAGGAAACUGCUUAGCUUGAGUGUCGGAGAGGAUAGGGGAAUACCCGGUGUAGAGGUGAAAUUCGUAGAGAUCGGGUGGAACACCAGUGGCGAAGGCGCCUAUCUGGCUGACAACUGACGCUGAGACUCGAAAGCAUGGGGAGCAAACAGG